rnacentral:tRNA from 1 species
GCCGGGAUAGUCUAGUGGUUAUGACGUCUGCCUUACACGCAGAAGGUCGCGGGUUCAAUCCCCGCUCCUGGUA